rnacentral:misc_RNA from 1 species
UCCCCGUUACCGGGGCAGUCUGGCUAGAAAAAUACAACUAACCAUAAGGGUUGCGCUCGUUGAUGGACUUAACCAAACAUCUCACGACACGAGCUGACGACGGCCAUGCAGCACCUGUCACUUGGUUCCCGAAGGCACUCUCGGCUUUCGCCAAAAUUCCAAGGAUGUCAAGCCUGGGUAAGGUUCUUCGCUUACCAUCGAAUUAAACAACACGCUCCACCGCUUGUGCGGGUCCCCGUCAAUUCCUUUGAGUUUUAGUCUUGCGACCGUACUCCACAGGCGGGAUGCUUAACGCGUUAGCUGCGGCACGGAACCCGUGGAAUGGAUCCCACACCUAGCGCCCAACGUUUACGGUGUGGACUAC